rnacentral:rRNA from 1 species
CAGCGACGCCGCGUGCGGGACGAAGGCCCUCGGGUCGUAAACCGCUUUCAGCAGGAACGAAAUUGACGGUACCUGCAGAAGAAGCCCCGGCCAACUACGUGCCAGCAGCCGCGGUAAUAUGUAGGGGGCAAGCGUUGUCCGGAUUCAUUGGGCGUAAAGAGCUCGUAGGCGGUUCAGUAAGUCAGGUGUGAAAUCUCCGCGCUCAACGCGGAGCGGCCACCUGAUACUGCUGUGACUCGAGUCCGGUAGGGGAGUGUGGAAUUCCCGGUGUAGCGGUGAAAUGCGCAGAUAUCAGGAGGAACACCGGUGGCGAAGGCGGGUCUCUGGGCCGAUAUUGACGCUGAGGAGCGAAAGCGUGGGGAGCGAACAGGAUUAGAUACCCUGGUAGUCCACGCCGUAAACGUUGGGAACUAGGUGUGGGCCACAUUCCACGUGGUCUGUGCCGCAGCUAACGCAUUAAGUUCCCCGCC